AUGCUGCAGGGCCUCAACGCUGAUCUCGACGGCAUGAACUACUCCCUCUCCGACUCCGUAAAAAUGGCCGAAAUGGUCUUCGCCAGCGGCGGAAAAGCCGUCAACAUGACGGUGGUGGACACGGCGUGCUGCGCCGGCAAAGGACGGUUCGGGGAGGGCCAGUGCAACACCUCCGCCAAGCUCUGCCCGAACCGCAACGACUUCAUGUUCUGGGACGGCUUCCAUCCGACGGAGGCGGCGUCGUUCGCGGCCGCGUUCGAGCUCUUCGGCGACACCGGCGAAUACCUCCACCCGAUGAACGUGAGGCAGCUGGCGGCGCUGUAA
rnacentral:rRNA from 1 species